rfam:Clostridium sp. W14A NODE_14, whole genome shotgun sequence.
GUUGGUGUCGAUUGCGAUGAGGGUACACCCGUUCCCAUUCCGAACACGGAAGUUAAGCUCAUCUGCGCCGAAGAUACUUGGCUGGUAACGGCCCGGAACAAUAGGUGAUGCCAACA